GGUCGACGUCAUGGAUGCUUUGAAUGAUUUGCAACUGGACGCUCACUCGGUUCAAUCUUCUGAUCAUAAUGGUGUUUUCUCCUUGACCCUCAAGUCUAAGUUUCGAGGGAUAGUAGCUGCAUCAGUUGGGAUGAUCAAAGUAGCACUUUUGAAAGUUGCCAACAAGAGCUGAGGUGAGAAGAAAGCUUGGGAUCGAUGGUGAAGCAUAUUCUGGAAGUCACUAGAGUAGAAAUGAGAAGUGAAAUGCCAAUUAAGAGAAGAAAAGAAGCUGACAUUCUAACAUCCUCUCCCCUUGGGGCUUACAAAUUAGGCAAGCUCAGCAUCAACUGAUAAA
rnacentral:misc_RNA from 1 species